rnacentral:misc_RNA from 1 species
GAUGAAGAACGCAGCGAAAUGCGAUACGUAAUGUGAAUUGCAGAAUUCAGUGAAUCAUCGAAUCUUUGAACGCAUAUUGCGCUCUCUGGUAUUCCGGAGAGCAUGCUUGUUUGAGUAUCAGUAAACACCUCAACUUCCAUAUCUUUUUUGAAAUGGGAGUUCGACUUGAGUGAUCCCAACGCUUUUCCUCACCGAAAAGUGGCGGGUUACUUGAAAUGCAGGUGCAGCUGGACUUUUCUCUGAGCUAUAAGCAUAUCUAUUUAGUCUGCCUAAAAAACAGAUUAUUACCUUUGCUGCAGCUAACAUAAAGGAGAUUAGUUCUUGUGCUGACUGAUGCAGGAUUCACAAAGACAGGCUUCGGCCGACUUUGUAAACUCGAUCUCAAAUCAAGUAAGACUACCCGCUGAACUUAAGCAUAUCAAUAAGCGGAGGA